rnacentral:rRNA from 1 species
CGGUCCAGACUCCUACGGGAGGCACCAGUAGGGAAUUUUCCCCAAUGGGCGAAGCCUGACGGAGCAACGCCGCGUGAGUGAUGAAGGUUUCGGCUCGUAAAACUCUGUUAUUAGGGAAGAACAAAUGUGUAAGUAACUGUGCACAUCUUGACGGUACCUAAUCAGAAAGCCACGGCUAACUACGUGCCAGCAGCCGCGGUAA